rnacentral:rRNA from 1 species
UACGAAGGGGGCUAGCGUUGUUCGGAAUUACUGGGCGUAAAGCGCACGUAGGCGGAUAUUUAAGUCAGGGGUGAAAUCCCGGGGCUCAACCCCCGGAACUGCCUUUGAUACUGGGUAUCUAGAGUCCAGAAGAGGUGAGUGGAAUUCCGAGUGUAGAGGUGAAUUCGUAGAUAUUCGGAGGUACACCAGUGGCCGAAGGCGGCUCACUGGUCUGGUACUGACGCUGAGGUGCGA